AACGAACGCUGGCGGCGUGCCUAACACAUGCAAGUCGAGCGAGAAAGCCCGCAAGGGUGAGUAAAGCGGCGCACGGGUGCGUAACACGUGGGUAAUCUGCCCUGGAGUCCGGAAUAACUCGCCGAAAGGCGUGCUAAUGCCGGAUAAGACCACGGGAACUGCGGUUCCUGCGGGAAAAGGUGGCCUCUGUACACAAGCUAUCACUCCUGGAUGAGCCCGCGGCCCAUCAGCUAGUUGGCGGGGUAACGGCCCACCAAGGCUACGACGGGUAGCUGGUCUAAGAGGACGAUCAGCCACACUGGAACUGAGACACGGUCCAGACUCCUACGGGAGGCAGCAGUGGGGAAUCUUGCGCAAUGGGCGAAAGCCUGACGCAGCAACGCCGCGUGUGUGAUGAAGGUCUUCGGAUCGUAAAGCGCUGUCGCGAGGGACGAAUAAGGUGCCGGCUAACAUCCGGCGCUGAUGACGGUACCUCGAGAGGAAGCACCGGCUAACUCUGUGCCAGCCGCCGCUGUAAGAC
rnacentral:rRNA from 1 species